AACGAACGCUGGCGGCAGGCUUAACACAUGCAAGUCGAACGCGUGCAGCAAUACACGAGUGGCGCACGGGUGAGUAACGCGUGGAUAUCUGCCUUUUGGUUCGGAAUAACCCCGGGAAACUGGGGCUAAUACCGGAUGGUUCCUUCGGGAUAAAGAUUUAUCGCCAAAAGAUGAGUCCGCGUACGAUUAGCUAGUUGGUGAGGUAAUGGCUCACCAAGGCGACGAUCGUUAGCUGGUCUGAGAGGACGAUCAGCCACACUGGGACUGAGACACGGCCCAGACUACUACGGGAGGCAGCAGUGUGGAAUAUUGGACAAUGGGGGCAACCCUGAUCCAGCCAUGCCGCGUGAGUGAUGAAGGCCUUCGGGUUGUAAAGCUCUUUUGGCGGGGACGAUGAUGACGGUACCCGCAGAAUAAGCCCCGGCUAACUUCGUGCCAGCCGCCGCGGUAA
rnacentral:rRNA from 1 species